UAGGAUAUGGUGUAAUCGGUAGCACGGAGAGUUUUGAGUUCUCAGGUGUAGGUUCAAUUCCUGUAAUCCUAG
rnacentral:tRNA from 2 species